AAUCGAUUUGAAUUUUGGCUCAGAUCAAAAUUCAAAUCGAGAUCGGAUUGAAAUAAAUGAGUCCAACUAUGAGCCGAAAAUUUUGCCGCAAUUUUUUUUGAGCCAAUUUUGAGCCAUACAUGGAUCGUGCUCAAACUAACUCCAGAGCAGUUCGUAGUAUUUUUUUUUUAUUAUUUUUAAAAAGUAUGUAUAUAUAUAUAAUGAGUUACAGGCCAAUUUCGAGGUGGAAUGGUUCCAAAUAAUUAGAUUUGAGCUAGUUUAUUUUAAUUUUGAGCUGACUCCUCCCUUCAAUAACUCGAUUCACUGUCCUUUCUACAGUAUACUGAGCCACCAAUAUUAGACUAUCUUCCAACACCUCCUCGACGUUCUGUAGAUCGACCGAUUAGGCCGUCGGAAUGCUACCUGCGACCUCCCACAGGUGAGAAUCACAUUCAUGAUUGUGGAAGUAUCCUGUAUUACAUUCGCUUGGAAUGGAUGGCAAGUUGUGAUGUUGUGCACUUGAGGGUUAAAAAACGACAGAAUCAAUGAACACAAGAAAGAACACAUGGAUUUAAAGAGGUUCGGCAAUUUGCCUACGUCCUCAGAGGCAAGAGCGAUGUGAUCUUACCUUCGAAUGAGCACAAGUCUAUAGAUUGGUGAUGAUAGCUCGCCGCCAUCUUGCUGUGGUUCUGUACCGACUGGAGCAACUCUUCUCGGGACUUGUAUUAAAUCCAGAUUCUGAAGACCCUUUGUCUAUCGAAAGCAAACAGUACAGAGCUUCUUUCCAUUUCCAGCCACCUCAAAACCGGUUCAAUGUUUCAAGAUUUAGGAAGAAUGAGACGCAUAAGGUUGAUAUAGAGGUAGAAUAUGAGCUUCUAUAGCUCGAAAUGGCUCAGCUUGUGCACCAUGAGUGGAAACUCGACAAUGUGCAGAUGGCCGGCAACGAUCAAGUGGAUUCUUCAGUUUCAGGAAGCAUAGGGACUUUUGGCCCGCUUGUUUUGGAUUCUCAUGAACCUGCGGAGCUCACUGCAGUUCUCUUUAGAGUAUUUAAGAUCAGUACUGAUCAUGCUGUUCUUAUGUGCUCUGAUCAAAGAAACAAGAUCAUCAUUGUGGCCUAAACUUUACAAGCCAGCAUUUGGAGGGGAGCUUUGUGGGCAUGGAUGUAAAAGCUGGGAAGACAUCUCUGAAGGACUUUUGAUAAAUUCAAUGAUUUGGAAGAGCCUGCAUCACUGCUAGAGCAGUACAUCCCAAGUUUGCUGCUUUCUGGAGAGCCUAUGUGUGCACAUUUGCAGGCACAUGUAGGGGCAACGGAGAUCUAACAUGUACUGGUUCAACUUGCUUGUUUUGCUAAUUUUAAAUUAUACCCGACUUAAUCUUCAUUUUUUUUUUUGGU